rnacentral:rRNA from 1 species
UACGGGGGGGGCAAGCGUUGUUCGGAAUUACUGGGCGUAAAGCGCACGUAGGCGGCUUUCUAAGUCGGGGGUGAAAUCCUGGAGCUCAACUCCAGAACUGCCUUCGAUACUGGAAAGCUCGAGUCCGGGAGAGGUGAGUGGAAUUCCGAGUGUAGAGGUGAAAUUCGUAGAUAUUCGCAAGAACACCAGUGGCGAAGGCGGCUCACUGGCCCGGUACGUGACGCUGAGGUGACGAAAGUGGUGGGGCGAACGAGGAUUCGA